GCCUUCGUAGUGUAGUGGUCAGUACACUGAUAUUCGAGAGGGCUCUGGUUCGAGUCCCGGCGAUGGCA
rnacentral:tRNA from 1 species